UGGAUCAGUGAUGGCAAUUGGUGAUGUAUGAGUCUGGGUGGUGAAUACGAAAGUUAUGGAAUUCUGAGGUUCAU